GAAGGGUGCAAGCGUUACUCGGAAUUACUGGGCGUAAAGCGUGCGUAGGUGGUUGUUUAAGUCUGCUGUGAAAGCCCUGGGCUCAACCUGGGAAUUGCAGUGGAUACUGGGCGACUAGAGUGUGGUAGAGGAUAGUGGAAUUUCCGGUGUAGCAGUGAAAUGCGUAGAGAUCGGAAGGAACAUCUGAGGCGAAGGCGACUAUCUGGGCCAACACUGACACUGAGGCACGAAAGCGUGGGGAGCAAACAGGAUUAGAUACCCUGGUAGUCCACGCCCUAAACGAUGCGAACUGGAUGUUGGGCACAACUUGGUGCCCAGUAUCGAAGCUAACGCGUUAAGUUCGCCGCCUGGGGAGUACGGUCGCAAGACUG
rnacentral:rRNA from 1 species